rnacentral:tRNA from 1 species
GCCUGGGUGGCUCAGUCGGUUGAGCGUCUGACUUCGGCUCAGGUCAUGAUCUCACAGCUCGUGAGUUCGAGCCCCACAUCGGGUG